AACCUAGCAAACAUAUUCUUUGGACUGCAUAUUGUGCUUAACGGUGCACUAAAAUAAGCUUUAAAAUAUAAAAAAGCAGUAAUUUUUCCCUUGAAAAGAAAUCAACGUCAUUUGUAUGUAUGUACAUAUCGAAAUUUGUAGAACCAGGGACGGGGACACAGGAGGAUGGUCCGGACCCUCCGAACCCAACAUUUUUCGAUCGGACUCAUCCAAAAUUGUUUUUCUGCGUCGGCUUCUGUGUAGAACAAAGAUCGUAAAAAGCAAGGAACCAUAAUAAGUGGCCAACUCGGCUCAAUUUCUUGAUAAUGAUGAUGCUUCAAUCUGUGCCUGCUCUGUCGGUUAAUGAAGAAAGAAACUGGAUUUCGUGUAUGAAUAAAUUUGUAUAUGAAAAUUGGCGGAGAAAAUACAACUACUGCCAGGGCACUAUUUUUGAUAUGGUCACCUUUACAGAUUUUCAACUACAAUCUGUAAAAAUUUGAAAAGAUUAUAUUAUUAAUAUUCAAUUAACGAACAUUGUAAAAAUAUCGCAGGAUCAAAAUCAAAUAAUUACAUAUAUAAUAUAGCGAAAUAUCCAAAAAUGUAUACAUAAAUAAUGGAAAAAAUGAUGACGUUGUUGUAUUUUAUUUUACGAGCAAGAUUUGUAAAAUAUCGAGUUUUUUACUACCCUUUAAUCGAAAUUUCACAAAAAUUGGAUAACUAACGUAGGAGAGAUAAAAAAAAAGAAAUUUUGACGCCAUUGGAUGGUGUUUUUUAACUACUAUUGAGUUUUUAAUUAAUUUUUAUUAAAAUUGGAUAACUAUAUCAUAUAGCUGCCAAGGGAAAUGAAAACCAAUUGAUACUGUAGUUGUUUAUGAAAUUUACUAUAUUAUAAAGCUGCUGUAGGAGAGAUCGAAAAAUUAAUAAAGCGGAAUAUUAUAACA